rnacentral:rRNA from 1 species
UGGGGAAUUUUGGACAAUGGGCGAAAGCCUGAUCCAGCCAUGCCGCGUGAGUGAAGAAGGCCUUCGGGUUGUAAAGCUCUUUUAGUCGGAAAGAAAGAGUUGCAAUGAAUAAUUGUGAUUUAUGACGGUACCGACAGAAAAAGCACCGGCUAACUACGUGCCAGCAGCCGCGGUAAUACGUAGGGUGCGAGCGUUAAUCGGAAUUACUGGGCGUAAAGGGUGCGCAGGCGGUCUUGCAAGUCAGAUGUGAAAGCCCCGGGCUUAACCUGGGAAUUGCGUUUGAAACUACAAGGGUAGAGUGCAGCAGAGGGGAGUGGAAUUCCAUGUGUAGCAGUGAAAUGCGUAGAGAUGUGGAAGAACACCGAUGGCGAAGGCAGCUCCCUGGGUUGACACUGACGCUCAUGCACGAAAGCGUGGGGAGCAAACA